UCACCUAGUAGUGCUAUCUGCAGGGUUAGCUCCAGGUUAAUAUCACCCAGUAGUGCUAUCUGCAGAGUUAGCUCCAGGUUAAUGUCACCCAGUAGUGCUAUCUGCAGGGUUAGCUCCACGUUAAUGUCACCUAGUAGUGCUAUCUGCAGGG